rnacentral:rRNA from 1 species
GCAGGCGGGUCAGUAAGUCAGGGGUGAAAGUUUGCGGCUUAACCGUAAAAUUGCCUUUGAUACUGCUGGUCUUGAGUUGCGGUGAAGUGGCUGGAAUAUGUGGUGUAGCGGUGAAAUGCAUAGAUAUCACAUAGAACACCGAUUGCGAAGGCAGGUCACUAACCGCCGACUGACGCUGAUGGACGAAAGCGUGGGGAGCGAACGGGAUUAGAUACCCCGGUAGUCCACGCCGUAAACGAUGGACACUAGCUGUCGGGCCGCUUUAGGUUCGGUGGCUAAGCGAAAGUGAUAAGUGUCCCACCUGGGGAGUACGUCGGCAACGAUGAAACUCAAAGGAAUUGACGGGGGCCCGCACAAGCGGUGGAGCAUGUGGUUUAAUUCGAUGAUACGCGAGGAACCUUACCAGGGCUUAAAUGUAGUGGGACAGGGGUAGAGAUACCUUUUUCUUCGGACUCAUUACAAGGUGCUGCAUGGUUGUCGUCAGCUCGUGCCGUGAGGUGUCAGGUUAAGUCCUAUAACGAGCGCAACCCCUACCGUUAGUUGCCAGCGAGUAAAGUCGGGGACUCUAACGGAACUGCCGGUGCAAACCGCGAGGAAGGUGGGGAUGACGUCAAAUCAUCACGGCCCUUACGUCCUGGGCUACACACGUGCUACAAUGGCCGGUACAAUGAGCAGCCACGUCGCAAGGCGGAGCGAAUCUAUAAAACCGGUCACAGUUCGGAUCGGGGUCUGCAACCCGACCCCGUGAAGCUGGAAUCGCUAGUAAUCGGAUAUCAGCCAUGAUCCGGUGAAUACGUUCCCGGGCCUUGUACACAC